AUGGCGACCGCCUCGCUCAAGCUCUGCUCCCCCAAACCCCUCGCCCCGUCGCCCCUCCUCCGCCGCCCCAGCGCCGCGCGGCCCAUCGGCCCCGCCCGGCGCCUCCCGCCGGCCCGCGUCGCCGUGCAGCCCGCCGCCGCGCCGGCCCCCGCCGCCUCCCCCGGCACCGCCACCUUCGAGCAGGUGCUGGAGCAGCUGAUCGGCGGGGCCGACUUCACGGAGGACGAGGCGGAGGCCACGCUGCAGCUGCUGCUCAACGAGAAGAACGAGGCACGGAUCGCCGCCUUUCUCGUGCUCCUCCGGGCCAAGGGCGAGACCUACGACGAGAUCGUCGGGCUGGCCAAGGCGAUGAUGAACAACUGCGUCCUUGUCGAGGGGCUCCACGACGCCGUCGACAUUGUCGGCACCGGCGGCGACGGCGCGGACACCGUCAACAUCUCCACCGGCUCCACCAUCCUCGCCGCCGCGGCCGGCGCCAAGGUCGCCAAGCAAGGGAGCAGGGCGAGCUCGUCGGCCUGCGGCAGCGCCGAUGUGCUGGAGGCCCUCGGUGUCAACAUCGAGUUGGGACCCGAGGGUAUUAAGCGGUGUGUCAAUGAGGUGGGUGUUGGAUUCAUGAUGUCUGCAAAUUACCAUCCGGCAAUGAAAAUUGUCAGACCUGUGAGGAAGAAGCUGAAGAUAAAGACAGUUUUCAAUAUCCUUGGUCCUCUGUUGAAUCCAGCAAGGGUGCCCUACGCUGUUAUUGGUGUUUACCAUGAGAACAUAGUUAGCAAGAUGGCUAAAGCAGCCCAGAAAUUUGGAAUGCAGAGAGCAUUGGUUGUCCAUUCAAAGGGUUUGGACGAAAUAAGCCCACUUGGGCCUGGAUAUAUCCUUGAUGUGACUCCAGGAAAGAUUGAAAAAAUGCUCUUUGAUCCAUUGGAUUUUGGCAUUCCUCGCUGCACAUUACUAGAUCUUAAAGGAGGCGAUCCCGCGUUCAACGCAAAAGUUCUCCAGGAUGUUCUCGCUGGACAAAGAGGCCCAAUCGCAGAUGCUCUUGUUCUGAACGCCGCGGCCUCCCUCCUUGUUAGCGGCAAAGUGAAAACUCUGCAAGAGGGUGUUGCGCUAGCACAGGAGACGCAGCGCUCCGGAGUGGCCAUCAACACGCUCGAGUCAUGGAUUAAGGUUUCCAAUAGCUGCUGA
rnacentral:rRNA from 1 species